rnacentral:rRNA from 1 species
UACGGGGGGGGCAAGCGUUGUUCGGAAUUACUGGGCGUAAAGGGCUCGUAGGUGGCCAACUAAGUCAGACGUGAAAUCCCUCGGCUUAACCGGGGAACUGCGUCUGAUACUGGAUGGCUUGAGUUUGGGAGAGGGAUGCGGAAUUCCAGGUGUAGCGGUGAAAUGCGUAGAUAUCUGGAGGAACACCGGUGGCGAAGGCGGCGAUCUGGGUCGAUACUGACGCUGAGGUGCGAAAGCGUGGGGAGCAAACAGG